CCUACGGGGUGCUGCAGUGGGGAAUAUUGGACAAUGGGCGAAAGCCUGAUCCAGCCAUGCCGCGUGUGUGAAGAAGGCCUUCGGGUUGUAAAGCACUUUCAGUGGGGAAGAAAGCCUUGGGGCUAAUACCCUCGAGGAAGGACAUCACCCACAGAAGAAGCACCGGCUAACUCCGUGCCAGCAGCCGCGGUAAUACGGAGGGUGCGAGCGUUAAUCGGAAUUACUGGGCGUAAAGCGCGCGUAGGCGGUCUGAUAAGCCGGUUGUGAAAGCCCCGGGCUCAACCUGGGAACGGCAUCCGGAACGGUCAGGCUAGAGUGCAGGAGAGGAAGGUAGAAUUCCCGGUGUAGCGGGGAAAUGCGUAGAGAUCGGGAGGAAUACCAGUGGCGAAGGCGGCCUUCUGGACUGACACUGACGCUGAGGUGCAAAAGCGUGGGUAGCAAACAGGAUUAGAUACCCCGGUGUC
rnacentral:rRNA from 1 species